CACGCAGGCGGUUUCUUAAGUCCUUUGUGAAAGCCCGGGGCUCAACUCCGGAACUGCAUAGGAUACUGGGAGACUAGAGACAGGUAGAGGCUAGCGGAAUUCCUGGUGUAGCGGUGGAAUGCGUAGAUAUCAGGAAGAACACCUGUGGCGAAGGCGGCUAGCUGGGCCUGUUCUGACGCUCAUGUGCGAAAGCGUGGGGAGCAAACA
rnacentral:rRNA from 1 species